AUUGAACGCUGGCGGCAGGCCUAACACAUGCAAGUCGAACGGAGUGGCGGACGGGUGAGUACUGUCUGGGAAAAUGCCCGAUGGAGGGGGAUAACUACUGGAAAAGGUAGCUAAUACCGCAUACACUCAGAUGAGCCUAGGUCGGAUUAGCUAGUUGGGGGGGUAAAGGCCUACCAAGGCAACGAUCCGUAAAUGGUCUGAGAGGAGGAUCAGUCACACUGGAACUGAGACACGGGCCAGACUCCUACGGUAGGCAGCAGUGGGGAAUAUUGGACAAGGGGCGAAAGCCUGAUCCAGCCAUGCCGCGUGUGUGAAGAAGGUCUUCGGAUUGUAAAGCACUUUAAGUUGGGAGGCGGUACCAACAGAAUAAGCACCGGCUAACUACGUGCCAGCAGCCGCGGUAAUAC
rnacentral:rRNA from 1 species